GAAGGAAGACAGUAUUGGUUCAGCCAAGCUGACACGAGAACAUGGGAACGUGCUCGACAGUAUUGCCGGAGCAUGGGAACGAGCGUCGCCAGGGUUCGGUCUUCACAGGAACAAGUCUUCAUUAACCAAAUCGUCCCCGGGAACACGCCUGCCCUCCUGGGGAUGAGAUGUGUUAAGAUCACGGGUGACGGGGAUGAUUCGGGAUGCUUCUGGGAAGAUGGUGGUCCUGUAACAUUUACGAUGUGGCGGGAAGGUGAACCAGCAUUUCCAGACAAAACAAUGUACACAGUGACGUGGGAUGGUGAAUGGCACACAGUUGGCGAAGGGGAUCAUCGUUCUUUUGUAUGCGAGGAACCGGACGUGGACUCCAGAACUCAGAUUACCAUCGACGUACCUAUGCCUAAAGUAA